rnacentral:misc_RNA from 1 species
UCCUAGUUAACCUAGGCAGUCUCAUUAGAGUUCCCGCCAUUACGCGCUGGCAACUAAUGAUAAGGGUUGCGCUCGUUGCUGGACUUAACCAAACACCUCACGGCACGAGCUGACGACAGCCAUGCAGCACCUAUAUAGAGACCCUUUCGGGAACGGCAAUCUCUCGCCGCGUCCUCUACAUUUCGAGCCCAGGUAAGGUUCUUCGCGUUGCAUCGAAUUAAACCACAUGCUCCACUGCUUGUGCGGGCCCCCGUCAAUUCUUUUGAGUUUCACCCUUGCGAGCGUACUCCCCAGGCGGCAUACUUAACGCGUUAGCUCCGAAACAGAAAGGGUUGAGCCCCCCUACUUCUAGUAUGCAUCGUUUACAGCUAGGACUAC